rnacentral:rRNA from 1 species
AAUCAACGCUGGCGGCGUGCCUCAGACAUGCAAGUCGAACGAUUAAAGCUCCCUUCGGGGAGUGCAUAAAGUGGCGCACGGGUGAGUAACACGUAAGUAAUCUACCCUCGAGUGGGGAAUAACGUCCGGAAACGGACGCUAAUACCGCAUAAUGCAGCGGCACCGCUAGGUGACAGUUGUUAAAGAUUUAUCGCUUGAGGCGGAGCUUGCGGCAGAUUAGCUAGUUGGUAAGGUAAUGGCUUACCAAGGCCGCGAUCUGUAACCGGUCUAAGAGGACGGUCGGUCACACUGGAACUGAGACACGGUCCAGACUCCUACGGGAGGCAGCAGUGGGGAAUAUUGGACAAUGGGCGAAAGCCUGAUCCAGCCAUGCCGCGUGUGUGAAGAAGGUCUUCGGAUUGUAAAGCACUUUAAGUUGGGAGGAAGGUCUGUAAGCUAAUAUCUUGCAGUCUUGACGUUACCAACAGAAUAAGCACCGGCUAACUC